rnacentral:piRNA from 1 species
UAGAUGGGCCCCUUUGCUUAUAGAAAGU